CCCCUAGAUGUUCUGGGCCGCACGCGCGCUACACUGAACAGUUCAACAAGUCUUAACCUUGGCCGAUAGGUCUGGGUAAUCUUUGAACGCUGUUCGUGAUGGGGAUAGACCUUUGCAAUUAUGGGUCUUCAACGAGGAAUUCCUAGUAAACGCAAGUCAUCAGCUUGCAUUGAUUACGUCCCUGCCCUUUGUACACACCGCCCGUCGCACCUACCGAUUGAAUGGUCCGGUGAAAUCUCGGGACGGCGGCUUGGUCGCUUGCGUCCGACUGCUGAAACUUGAUUAAACCAUAUCAUUUAGAGGAAGGUGAAGUCGUANCA
rnacentral:rRNA from 1 species